rnacentral:rRNA from 1 species
AUGAUGAAAACCGCGUCGGAGCAUUGGUGUAGGGCCUACUUUAGGAUUGGCUCUUUCUAUGACUCAGUUGAGGACAACAUGUGUGAGUCAUUUAAUAAUGCCAUCAUGAGAUCAAGGUUCUACUCUGUAAUAACAGCAAUGGAAAUCAUUAGAAAGAAGGUGACUGUGAGGAUCCAACAAAACAGAGCAAAGUCUCAGAAGUGGCAUGGAACCAUUUGCCCAGUCACAAUCAUCUCAACAGUCUCAGAAGUGGCAUGGAACCAUUUGCCCAGUCACAAUCAUCUCAACCUCCAUCUGCAUCAUCUUCUUAUCAACCAACACCUGGGUCGAGAUCUCAGCCAAUGUCAAACCAAUCAGGAUUCCAAUGGUGGUUAUAUGGCAAUAAUUGACUGCUAG